rnacentral:rRNA from 1 species
GAUGAACGCUAGCUACAGGCUUAACACAUGCAAGUCGAGGGACCGGCGCACGGGUGAGUCACCCGUAUCACACCUGCCCUUUACUCGGGGAUAGCCUUUCGAAAUAAAGAUUAAUACCCGAUAUAAAGGAUGGGGAUGCGUUCCAUUAGUUUGUGGGUGAGGUAACGGCCCACCAAGCCUUCGAUGGAUAGGGGUUCUGAGAGGAAGGUCCCCCACAUUGGAACUGAGACACGGUCCAAACUCCUACGGGAGGCAGCAGUGAGGAAUAUUGGUCAAUGGGCGGUAGCCUGAACCAGCCAAGUAGCGUGAAGGAUGAAGGCUUAUGGGUCGUAAACUUCUUUUAUAUAAGAAUAUGUAUUAUAUGAAUAAGGAUCGGCUAACUCCGUGCCAGCAGCCGCGGUAAUUC